rnacentral:rRNA from 1 species
UACGAAGGGGGCUAGCGUUGCUCGGAAUUAUUGGGCGUAAAGAGCUCGUAGGCGGUCUGUCGCGUCGGUCGUGAAAACUUGGGGCUUAACCCUGAGCUUGCGGUCGAUACGGGCAUGACUGGAGUUCGGCAGGGGAGACUGGAAUUCCUGGUGUAGCGGUGAAUGCGCAGAUAUCAGGAGGAACACCGGUGGCGAAGGCGGGUCUCUGGGCAACAACUGACGCUGAGGAGCGAAAGCGUGGGGAGCGAACAGG